GUCAAUUUAACCUAUCCCACCUAGCAGUCACCACUACAGAUGUUGCCUUUAUGUAUUUUCUCACUUUUCGCCUUUCUAAAUUUUUCUUCCUUCAGUUAUACAAGUUUCAGUCUGUUUUCUUUGUCGAUUUGUACCACUUUUGUAUUCAUCACUUAAAUUCAUCGGUUCUUGAUGUUGUGUCAAUUUUUUUGACAAGAGAAAUUGGAGUUUCGGUUGAAUUUCUCUGCCGCCCAAAGUCUCCGCAGCGUCUAACCACAAAUUAAAGCUAGUAUCUUCUUCUCCAGGUCUAUUUCCGCAAUUAGCUAGAGGAAUAUCUUAUAUUUUUAUUUUAAGGAACUGAAUUAUCAGUUUAUGAAAAUAGAGUUGGCGGUGAUAUCUAAGCCUUUGAAUGCUUCGACAACUUCGUCAAUUGGGUGGUAAAGUGAGUUGCUGUUGAAUUUCAAGAAGAUUAAGAGAAAUAAGAAGAGGUUCUCGGUGAUGAAAGUUAAGUUACGGUGGAGCAAACUGGUAAUUAAUCAUGGAUCCCUGCUUUCUCUGUUUUUUUUUUGUUUGUAUUUUUGUUAAGGUGAUUUUAACCUAAGGCUCGAAAUUGAAUUUUUGUGCAUUCUGUCAUUCUACUCUCAUUUUAAUGAUGGAGUGAAUGAAUGAAAGGUCUUCAAAUGCACAUAGGAUUUUACUGAAGUUCAUAUGGAAAUAAAAAAGCAAGGAUUGCGAGGCAACUACUUGACAAUAUUGUGGGUAGCUCAUAUUGCAAGGUCAAGAAUGAACCUUAUAAAUCACUGUUACUAAAGAAGACUAUAAGAGUUUUUGUUGUUGCCUAACGUUUUGGCAUACUAUAGAAACUUAUUUAAUCAGUUGAUUUAGACAAUCUAAUCUAGCUUUAAUAGUUAUCUUUGUAUCUUCUAUUUUUGCGCAAUUCCAAAAUACAUUUGGUUUUAUCCUGGAGAAUAAUAUAAAUCCUAUGUUCUUAUAUGUUGUUUUAGAGUGUUGUGCAUAUUUAUAAUGUUGAAACACCGCCUUUAUUAUUCGAGCACCAAAUAUAUUUUACUGUAUCUUUCUAUUGGCACAAUAUUCUCUUUUUUCUAAUUUAAGUUAC
rnacentral:lncRNA from 1 species